GACUUUGCGAGAAAGCGAGAAGGUCGCCGCCCGCCGCCCACGCCAGGAGUCCAAACGUCACCGUUGCACCUUCACCAAAGCAAUCAUCCGGCCUUCACCAUACAUGGUAAAAAUAAAAAAUGGAGUCAAUAAAAGCUUAGGAACAAACUGCAAAUCCACCAUACACCAUCCACACUCACCAGCCAUGUCUACACACUACAAAUCCACCAUAGCAAGUAGCAAUCACCAGGUCUUCACUCUUCAGCCCUUCACCUAAGCCUAAUCACUUUCACCAGGGAUUGAAGGCACAUGUUUACCUGUUAGGCAAAA